rnacentral:rRNA from 1 species
CAAUAGCGUAUAUUAAAGUUGUUGCAGUUAAAAAGCUCGUAGUUGGAUUUCUGGUCGGAAGCUCCUGUCCUCUGAUGAGCGUACAAGUGCGUCCUACCAUCCUUCUGUUAACCUUUAAGGCUUUCGCGGCUUUCUAGGGGCUCAGAUAUUUUACCUUGAGAAAAUUAGAGUGUUUCAGGCAGGCUAGCGCCGGAAUACAUUAGCAUGGAAUAAUGGAAUAGGACUUUUGCCUCUUCUGUUGGUCAUGAGGCUCGAGUAAUGAUUAAUAGGGAUAGUUGGGGGCAUUAGUACUUAACUGUCAGAGGUGAAAUUCUUGGAUUUGUUAAAGACUAACUUAUGCGAAAGCAUUUGCCAAGGAUGUUUUCAUUAA